ensembl:rRNA 5S_rRNA 5S ribosomal RNA
UUUUACAGAUGUAAAGUACUGUCUACAUGCCUGAUCUCGUCUGAUCCUGGAAGUUAAGCAGGGUCAGGCCUGGUUAGUACUUGGAUGGGAGACCACUUAGGAAGACCAGGUGCUGUAGGCA